rnacentral:rRNA from 1 species
UCCUACGGGAGGCAGCAGUGGGGAAUCUUCCGCAAUGGGCGCAAGCCUGACGGAGCAAACGCCGCGUGAGUGAAGAAGGGUUUCGACUCGUAAAGCUCUGUUGUCGGGGACGAAAUGUGGAGAUGGUGAAUAACCAUUUUCAAUGACGGUACCUGAGAGGAAGCCACGGCUAACUACGUGC